AUUGAACGCUGGCGGCAUGCUUUACACAUGCAAGUCGAACGGCAGCGCGGGCUUCGGCCUGGCGGCGAGUGGCGAACGGGUGAGUAAUACAUCGGAACGUGCCCAGUAGUGGGGGAUAGCUCGGCGAAAGCCGGAUUAAUACCGCAUACGACCUGAGGGUGAAAGCGGGGGAUCUUCGGACCUCGCGCUAUUGGAGCGGCCGAUGGCAGAUUAGCUAGUUGGUGGGGUAAAGGCCUACCAAGGCGACGAUCUGUAGCUGGUCUGAGAGGACGACCAGCCACACUGGGAAUGAGACACGGCCCAGACUCCUACGGGAGGCAGCAGUGGGGAAUGUUGGACAAUGGGCGAAAGCCUGAUCCAGCAAUGCCGCGUGUGUGAUGAAGGCCUUCGGGUUGUAAAGCACUUUUGGCGGGAACGAAAAGGACUGUGCCAAUACCACGGUUCGAUGACGGUACCCGCAGAAUAAGCACCGGCUAACUACGUG
rnacentral:rRNA from 1 species